UGGUAUGUUACUUCUUCUGUUGUGUAAAUAACUGCAGUGUCCUCCCUGUGCCUGUGUAUUGCAGGGGGAGGCGAGCACUGGUUAUAAAAAUGGUGAUAAUUAGGAAUAACCUAUUAAAGCUGGGAUAAAAGGUUCGAAAUCAUUGCUUAGAGUACUGCAUAGAUGUACCAGAAGUAACUACAUCCUGGAAAUGCUGUGUGUCUGAAACUGUUUCCACCUACUCAUUUUUAGCUCCUUUUUCUGACUCUGCUCCUAUUCCAACAGACCCGUCCGAGCCUGACGUUCGCUAAACGCCUCCGCGUGGUGGGAGACAAGUCUAGGAAGAAAUACCUUCAAUCCACCGACGAGGCAGAAAGGACUCAGCUCAAGGAAUACUGCACACAGAUGAAGGUUAAGAUGGGCACAGCUUUAGGUGGCCCAGAGCCUGGUGUUCAUCUCAGAAGGAGGGACUUCAUUUGGUCACAGAGAAGACGUGGCUUCCCUGCAAGGAGCAGGAAAGAUAAUCCACAGCCUCUCGGGGAGGCUUAAACUUGACCUCCUUUGGAUUGAAUUCUUUUGGGAUCCUCCCU